GGGAAUGUAGUAGGAGGAUGUUUAUAGGAGGAGCAGGAACACGCCUCAGGAAACACUGCAUGGACUCCACAGGUACAGAACGGAGGCGCCAUUAAAACUGUUGACAGCCAGACCAGGCAGCAGGGUGUAGCUGAUGUGGUUGCAAGGCGAUGGACGUGUCAAAGCAAGCAUCGUCGUGGUCAGUGGAAGAAGUGCUGGAUUGGGUACAGGAACAGUACCCUGCCUGCAUGAACCAGCUCCAUAAAGCCAUAAUCAAACAUGCUAUAUCAGGCCGUGCAUUGCUGAGAUUGAGGGAGCAUCACCUGGAGCUUCUCGGGGUGGAGGAUAAGAAGCAGCAGCAGGAAAUGUUGCAGGACUUCCUCCUCCUCAGAGUUCAGGAAGAAAUCAAUGAACUCUGUGACAUCUGCUCUGAGUGUUUUUCUUCAUAAAGGACAGUAAAAUCUUCAGAAAGAUAAAAGCCCAGCUGACUUUUUUUUAUUUCCCAUUCAUCCAUUCAACCGUAUGAAGGAGAGAGAAAGGUGGGAGUGAUGGAAAUAACAAGAGAAGGUGAAUAGAAAGAAGGAUCGAUGAGGAAUGAAGAGAGAAAGAAACCCAUUUGGUGUGUGAAAUCUGACCUGUGCAGAUAGAUGAGAUUAGUUUUUGUCUGCUUGUCUUUUUCUGGUCCCUACUGUCCAUUACUCGCUGUCUUUUUCCUUUCUCUGCUGUGGGUUUGCAUCCAACUAUAGCAUUUCAAAAUAAGUGAACACAAUUUUUGAUGCAUUUCAUAAAAAGAACAGCUCCAGUGUGUGUUUGGAUGAUGUGAGUCUGUCAGUCCCUUACAGUUAUUACCUUUAACAGUAGAUAAUGCACUCACGGUUAUAUUUAACCACACCGGGAGUAUCAUUGUAAGGAUGGUGAUGUAAGUCCUUCUCCUUUGUCCAGUAUUACAUGAAUUGUCAUGAAAUCUUAUCCAGACAGACUUUUCCUCUAGCUUUUCCAUUGGGGUCAUAUGUAUGGAUUUGAAAACUGGUUUUGAUGAAUUAGCACUUUGUUCCACGCAUCUAUGCGACCUUCAAGAUGAACUGUGGUAACUUUGUUCAUCUGUUUUCAACUUGAAAUUUAAUUGAACCAGUAAUUUUGUUUAUGACAAAACACCUGCUAAAUUAUUGGCUUUUCUUUCAGGCUCAGUUGAACAUUGUUUUUAGCACUAUUUAGCUAAUGUUAGCUUUUUAGUUUUCACACUGCUGGUACUUGCAGGUUGUUUUAGGGUGGACUGAAACUGUUCUUCUCGGCUUGACUGCAAGAACCACCCCUGCUCCUUUCAAUGCCCUUUUCGGGGAAUGCAAAAGUAGCUACUGCUGGGUUUGUGCUUCUGAGCAGUCCCGAAAACUGCUGUGCAGGUCUUGCGCUGAUUGGUUAAACUUAGAAAGAAGAACAAGUGCCAUUUUUUCUGCCCUCUCAAUGUCUCUAAUGUCACUGUCUUUAAUUCAAAAAUGCAACUUUUGGGUUAACAUAGCAAACUGCCAUUAUUCAAUUUCCCACGUCCUUCUAGAACUGCAGUUGCUGCUCUUUAUGUUAGCAUGCUAGCAGUAGCAUUUAGCUUAAAGCACUACCUGCCUCAAUAUAACCCGGUUGCUGUUAAUAUCCCUGUGUGCUGUUAAAAUGUCCUGAUAGGCUCCCUCAGUAUUCCUUCUUGUAACUUCUUGUUGUUGACAAAUCUCAAAAUAUCAUUGAAGGACAGCAUAUAACAAACACACAAAUCAAAACACUUAACUUGUGACUAUGUGAUACUGUAUGUAAUUAAAAUCAAAACAAAGUCUGACAAUUAUUAGAACUAGAUUGUAGAUGUCGGUUGUUACAGUAGAGAGUUCGAGUUGGGUGAAUACAGAUAAAGAGUGAAAACCUUAAAAGCCAUAGGAUUUUCAGUUCUAUUAACACCUCUAAAUUCACAGGUCAGUUUUUAAGAUUUACUCAUAUACCCAGAGUCGGUCAGUAGGAUACCAAACUCGUCUCCAUUACCAGGCCACAGUGACGUCUGAAGACAUGUUGUAGAAACUAUUUUUACCUUCAGCUAAUCAAAAUGUGAAAUUUUAAAAGUAAAAAAUGAGUAAACAUCAGUCUUAUGACAUACACUGUUUAACCUGUUAGAAGUCAUACUUGCAACUCUACCAAAUUUGAUGUAAUAGAAAUGAAGCUGCAACGCUACAUCCAUUUGAGUCACAGUAGUCUGACAACAGAUGCUGCCUGGUCCUGGUACAUGGAGCACUGAGGUGUCAAGGGUUAAACAUUUCAUGUGUCAGAAUAAAAAAAUAAAAAAAAACUGAAGCUGAGCAGUAAAACCUUCCAGUGUUUGCUUCUCACACACACUGAAAUUAAUUUCACAGUUCAGCUGUUGGUGUGAAUCUCCAGUUUUUUAGUUCAGAUGUUUACCUUUUUUUGGACUGAUCAACCACUAAAAAGCCUAAUUUUCCUGUAGUGAAUGAUGAACAGAAUUACAGAUGGAUUUGACUUUGAUAUGUUUAUGAUAAUGUGAUCCAGGUGACUCCUAUUUUGAUCGCAGCUGAUUCUUGCAAAGAUUGUUGUUUGUUAAAGCAAAUGGUCUUAAAUUUUCAGACUUUUUUUUUUAGAUACAUAAAUCUGCUUUAUACACUACCAGUCAAAUAUUUGGACACACCUUCUCUUUAAAUGGUUUUUCUUUAUUUUCAUGACUAUUUACAUUGUAUAUUCUCACUGAAUGAACCAAAACUAUGAAUGAACCUCAUUAAGAAGGCAAGAAAUUCCACAAAUUGACCUUGACAAGGCACACCUGUGAAGUUUAUGGAGAGAAUGCCAAGAGUGUGCAAAGCAGUAAUCAGAGCAAAGGGUGGCCAUUUUGAAGAAUCAAAAAUAUAAAACAUAUUUUGACUUAUUUCACAAUUGUUUGUUUACUACAUAAUUCCAUAUGUGUUCAUGCAUAGUCAUGAUGCCUUCAGUAGAAUCUACAAUGUAAAUAGUCAUGAAAAUACAGGAAAAAAAUGAAAUAAGAAGGUGUAUCCAAACUUCUGACUUGUAGUGCAUGUUGGCCUCCUUUCAAUGUGUAAUACAACCCUGACUGCCACUGCACAUUUGUAACACAUUAAAGGUUAUGUCUGUUUCUGAACAUUGCUUUUAGUAAAGUAGAAAGUUGAAUUAAAUGUGCUGCUUUGGCAACAUA